rnacentral:rRNA from 1 species
CCUACGGGUGGCUGCAGUGAGGAAUAUUGGUCAAUGGGCGCGAGCCUGAACCAGCCAAGUCGCGUGAGCGAGGAAGUAUUUCGGUAUGUAAAGCUCUAUCAGCAGGGACGAAAAAAGACGGUACCUGACUAAGAAGCCCCGGCUAACUACGUGCCAGCAGCCGCGGUAAUACGUAGGGGGCAAGCGUUAUCCGGAUUUACUGGGUGUAAAGGGAGCGUAGACGGCAAGGCAAGCCAGAAGUGAAAGGGCAGGGCUCAACCCUGUACAUGCUUUUGGAACUGUGGUGCUAGAGUGCAGGAGAGGUAAGUGGAAUUCCUAGUGUAGCGGUGAAAUGCGCAGAUAUUAGGAGGAACACCAGUGGCGAAGGCGGCUUACUGGACUGUAACUGACGUUGAGGCUCGAAAGCGUGGGGAGCAAACAGGAUUAGAUACCCGAGUAGUC